AGGCGGUUAGCUCAGUUGGUUAGAGCGCUUCGUUGACAUCGAAGAGGUCGCUGGUUCGAAUCCAGUACUGCCUACCA
rnacentral:tRNA from 2 species